rnacentral:rRNA from 1 species
CCUACGGGAGGCAGCAGUGAGGAAUAUUGGUCAAUGGGCGCGAGCCUGAACCAGCCAAGUCGCGUGAGGGAAGACGGUCCUAUGGAUUGUAAACCUCUUUUGUCGGGGAGCAAAAGACGCCACGCGUGGCGUUCCGAGAGUACCCGAAGAAAAAGCAUCGGCUAACUCCGUGCCAGCAGCCGCGGUAAUACGGAGGAUGCGAGCGUUAUCCGGAUUUAUUGGGUUUAAAGGGUGCGUAGGCGGAAGGUUAAGUCAGCGGUAAAAUGUCGGUGCUCAACACCGGCCUGCCGUUGAAACUGGUCGUCUUGAGUGAGCGAGAAGUAUGCGGAAUGCGUGGUGUAGCGGUGAAAUGCAUAGAUAUCACGCAGAACUCCGAUUGCGAAGGCAGCAUACCGGCGCUCAACUGACGCUGAGGCACGAAAGCGUGGGGAUCGAACAGGAUUAGAUACCCCGGUAGUC